rnacentral:rRNA from 1 species
UAGGGAAUCUUCGGCAAUGGGGGGAACCCUGACCGAGCAACGCCGCGUGAGUGAAGAAGGUUUUCGGAUCGUAAAGCUCUGUUGUUAAGGAAGAACGAGUGUGAGAAUGGAAAGUUCAUACUGUGACGGUACUUAACCAGAAAGGGACGGCUAACUACGUGCCAACAGCCGCGGUAAUACGGAGGUCCCGAGCGUUGUCCGGAUUUAUUGGGCGUAAAGCGAGCGCAGGCGGUUAGAUAAGUCUGAAGUUAAAGGCAGUGGCUCAACCAUUGUAGGCUUUGGAAACUGUUUAACUUGAGUGCAGAAGGGGAGAGUGGAAUUCCAUGUGUAGCGGUAAAAUGCGUAGAUAUAUGGAGGAACACCGGUGGCGAAAGCGGCUCUCUGGUCUGUUACUGACGCUGAGGCUCGAAAGCGUGGGGAGCGAACAGG